rnacentral:rRNA from 1 species
AUUGAACGCUAGCGGGAUGCUUUACACAUGCAAGUCGAACGAGGGGCGGACGGGAGAGUAAUAUAGCGGAACGUGCCCAGUAGGGGGGGAUAACUACUCGAAAGAGUGGCUAAUACCGCAUACUCUUGGAGAGGCCGAUAUCGGAUUAGCUAGUGGGUGGGGUAAAGGCUCACAAAGGCCACGAUCCGUAGCUGGUUUGAGGGGACGAUCAGCCACACUGGGACUGAGACACGGCCCAGACUCCUACGGGAGGCAGCAGUGGGGAAUUUUGGACAAUGGGGGAAACCCUGAUGCAGCCAUCCCGCGUGUAUGAGAAGGCCUUCGGGUUGUAAAGUACUUUUGGCAGAGAAGCGGUAUCUGCAGAAGAAGCACCGGCUAACUACGUGCCAGCAGCCGCGGUAAUUC